AGCAGCCGCGGUAAUUCCAGCUCCAAUAGCGUAUAUUAAAGUUGUUGCAGUUAAAAAGCUCGUAGUUGAAUUUCGGAAUCUGUCCAUUGGUCGGGCUUCACUGUCCGUACUGGUGUGGUGGGUUCUUACCUUCUGAAUAACCAGCAUGCCAUUUAUUUGGUGCGUUGGGGAAGCAGGACUAUUACCUUGAAAAAUUAGAGUGCUCAAAGCAGGCUAGUGCCUGAAUACAUUAGCAUGGAAUAAUAAAAUAGGACGGCAUGGUUCUAUUUUGUUGGUUUCUAGGAUCACCGUAAUGAUUAAUAGGGAUAGUUGGGGGCAUUAGUAUUCAAUUGUCAGAGGUGAAAUUCUUGGAUUUAUUGAAGACUAACUUCUGCGAAAGCAUUUGCCAAGGAUGUUUUCAU
rnacentral:rRNA from 1 species